rnacentral:rRNA from 1 species
UACGGGGGGGGGCAAGCGUUGUUCGGAAUUACUGGGCGUAAAGGGCUCGUAGGCGGCCAACUAAGUCAGACGUGAAAUCCCUCGGCUUAACCGGGGAACUGCGUCUGAUACUGGAUGGCUUGAGUUUGGGAGAGGGAUGCGGAAUUCCAGGUGUAGCGGUGAAAUGCGCAGAUAUCAGGAGGAACACCGAUGGCGAAGGCAGUUCUCUGGGACGGUACUGACGCUGAGACGCGAAAGCGUGGGGAGCGAACAGG